rnacentral:pre_miRNA from 1 species
ACCACUGAGCCAUCUCUCCAGCCCUGUUUUUAAUUUCUUAAAUUAUAUGUAUGUACCAGGAGGAACAACUGCAAUGUAUGAGAAUUUUUUUUUUAAUGUUUUUUUAAAAAGAUGGGCAUGUUGGGCUGGAGAGAUGGCUCAGUGGU